CUGAAGAAAUUAUACCUGCUGAACCUUUAUUUUAUGAUCUUAAACUACUCAAUACUUUAACGGGAAGCUGCUUCGUGUUUCAGCUUUUCAUUUAAUUUGGCAGACAUUUAUGAGGACCAACUCUGAGGAAAAGCACACUGCUGGAGACCGAGGAUACAAAGGAAUGUCCCUUUGUUUCAAGUUCCAGCACGGAGUGAGAAGCAUCUGUGUACCACACACUGCUAAUGUGCAUGAAUACCAUCUCCAAGGGAUGAACACUGAAGCUUCGUUUAGUGCCAAUAGUGACAAAAUGUCAAAGCUAGACGUUACUCAAAGAGAGCCAUCAGAAGUCAUUGGAUAGCACCUCCUAGGAGUCAGCUAGCUGAUAUU